rnacentral:rRNA from 1 species
UUCCAGACUCCUACGGGAGGCAGCAGUGGGGAAUAUUGCACAAUGGGGGAAACCCUGAUGCAGCGACGCCGCGUGAGUGAAGAAGUAUUUCGGUAUGUAAAGCUCUAUCAGCAGGGAAGAAAAUGACGGUACCUGAUUAAGAAGCCCCGGCUAACUACGUGCCAGCAGCCGCGGUAAUACGUAGGGGGCAAGCGUUAUCCGGAUUUACUGGGUGUAAAGGGAGCGUAGACGGCAGCGCAAGUCUGAAGUGAAAUGCCAGUGCUCAACACUGGAACUGCUUUGGAAACUGUGUGGCUAGAGUGCAGGAGAGGUAAGCGGAAUUCCUAGUGUAGCGGUGAAAUGCGUAGAUAUUAGGAGGAACACCAGUGGCGAAGGCGGCUUACUGGACUGUAACUGACGUUGAGGCUCGAAAGCGUGGGGAGCAAACAGGAUUAGAUACCCCAGUA